rnacentral:rRNA from 1 species
GCUAGUAAUGGCAGGUCAGCAUACUGCCGUGAAUACGUUCCCGGGCCUUGUACACACCGCCCGUCACACCAUGAGAGUUGGAAAUACCCGAAGCCUGUGAGCUGACCGUAAGGGGGCAGCAGUCGAAGGUAGAGCCAAUGAUUGGGGUGAAGUCGUAACAAGGUACC